GGAAGAGUUUUCCAUGGAUUUCUCAUUUUUGGGAGUUUUCCAUGGAUUUCUCAUUUUUGGGAGUUUUCCAUGGAUUUCUCAUUUUUGGGAAAGAGUUUUCCAUGGAUUUCUCAUUUUUGGGAAAGAGUUUUCCAUGGAUUUCUCAGCGAUGGGAAAGAGUUUUCCAUGGAUUUCUCAUUUAUGUGAAGGAGUUUUCCGCGGAUUUCUCCGAGACGUCGUUCCCGGGGUUGAUCCUUUGGGAAUUUCCUGCUCUGUGGGAUUCCUGCCAGGAACCUGCUCCUUUUUCCAUGGAUCCACAGCUCCUUGCCAAGGAAUUUUGGGAAUUUCCAGUCCAGCAGCUCGGAAUCGUCUCCGGAGUCGUUCCAGCCCCGGAGCUUCCCCGAAUUUGGCCACAAAAAGGCAAUUCUGAUGGGAAAAUAACGGGAUGGGACGGAGAAAAAAAUGAAAUGGGAGGAAAAAUAACGGGAUGA
rnacentral:lncRNA from 1 species